rnacentral:rRNA from 1 species
UACGUAGGGACCAAGCGUUGUUCGGAUUUACUGGGCGUAAAGGGUGCGUAGGCGGCAAUUCAAGUCAUCUGUGAAAUCUCCGGGCUUAACUCGGAACGGUCAGAUGAUACUGCUUUGCUAGAGUACAGAAGGGGCAAUCGGAAUUCUUGGUGUAGCGGUGAAAUGCGUAGAUAUCAAGAGGAACACCAGAGGUGAAGACGGGUUGCUGGGCUGAUACUGACGCUGAGUGCACGAAAGCUAGGGUAGCAAACGGG